CAGAUGACACAUAGUUCUGUGAGUACAAGCUGGAAUGUUUUAAUCUGGCCAGAUGGCCUGCUUUUAUACAGUUUAGACACAGUCAAACAUGCCCAUAACACUCCCACACAAAACAGGAUAAUCCUUCCCCCUGUGCCUGAGAGGAGACCAGUUACAAGCAAACAUCUAACAUACUCCUCCCCUGUGCCUGAGAGAUAAUUACCUGAGCACAUCAACAUAUAAUUGAAUUAUCU